rnacentral:rRNA from 1 species
CCUACGGGAGGCAGCAGUAAGGAAUAUUGGACAAUGCUCGCAAGAGUGAUCCAGCCAUGCCGCGUGCAGGAAGAAUGCCCUAUGGGUAGUAAACUGCUUUUGAACUAGAGAAAACCCCAGUACGUGUACUGGGCUGAUAGUAUAGUUAGAAUAAGCAUCGGCUAACUUCGUGCCAGCAGCCGCGGUAAGACGAAGGAUGCAAGCGUUAUCCGGAUUCAUUGGGUUUAAAGGGAGCGUAGGUGGACUGAUAAGUCAGUGGUGAAAUCUCCGAGCUUAACUCGGAAAUUGCCAUUGAUACUGUUGGUCUUGAGUACAGUUGCUGUGGGCGGAAUAUGACAUGUAGUGGUGAAAUACAUAGAGAUGUCAUAGAACACCGAUUGCGAAGGCAGCUCACAAAGCUGUAACUGACACUGAGGCUCGAAAGUGCGGGGAUCAAACAGGAUUAGAUACCCUGGUAGUCCGCACCGUAAACGAUGAUUACUCNCUACGUAGGGCGACCGUUACGUGGUGUUAGACGAAGACGAAGUAAGUAAGUUACCGACCGUCGGGGGUUACGGGUUCCGGGCCGGACGGUUAGGACGUACGAAGUUAGAGUUAGACGGCGNGAGAGCGACGGACGACGACGAGGGAGGUAGG